rnacentral:rRNA from 1 species
GAUGAACGCUGGCGGCGUGCUUAACACAUGCAAGUCGAACGAAGCGUAUUCAAGUGAAGUUUUCGGACAAAGCGAGGAUAUGACUUAGUGGCGGACGGGUGAGUAACGCGUGGGCAACCUGCCUUUCACAGCGGGAUAACAGAGGGAAGCUUCUGCUAAUACCGCAUAUACCUUUAUAACGCAUGUUAGGGAGGGGAAAGAAUUAUCGGUGAGGGAUGGGCCCGCGUCCGAUUAGAUAGUUGGUGGGGUAACAGCCUACCAAGUCGACGAUCGGUAGCCGGCUUGAGAGAGUGAACGGCCACAUUGGGACUGAGACACGGCCCAAACUCCUACGGGAGGCAGCAGUGGGGGAUAUUGGACAAUGGGGGCAACCCUGAUCCAGCGACGCCGCGUGAGUGAAGAAGUAUUUCGGUACGUAAAGCUCUAUCAGCAGGGAAGAAAGAAGACGGUACCUGACUAAGAAGCCCCGGCUAACUACGUGCCAGCAGCCGCGGUAAUACGUAGGGGGCAAGCGUUAUCCGGAAUUACUGGGUGUAAAGGGAGCGUAGACGGUUAAACAAGUCUGAAGUGAAAUGCCGGGGCUCAACCUCGGAGCUGCUUUGGAAACUGUAGAACUGGAGUGUCGGAGGGGUAAGCGGAAUUCCCAGUGUAGCGGUGAAAUGCGUAGAUAUUGGGAGGAACACCGGCGGCGAAGGCGGCUUACUGGACGACAACUGACGUUGAGGCUCGAAGGCGUGGGUAGCAAACAGG